AUCCCUAAGCCUGGCACAGCCGCAGCCAGUUGUUCCUAAGACUGCGAACAGAUCACGUGAUUCGUGAAAUGUUUUGGAUAGCAAGAUGCUGGUCCAGCAGACGAAGAUGGUCCCUCCAGAUGGAGGAUGGGGUUGGGUGGUUGUCAUAGGAGUCAGUAUAGUUAAUUUAUGUACAAGAUCAAUAGAAACAUCAUUUGGACUUCUUUUCGGAGAAAUUUUAUUGGAAUUGGAUGUUGGAACGACGGGAGCCGCGGUUAUUAUGAGUACAUUGGAUGCCCUCAUUAAUUUCUCCGGUUUGUUCGUUGGCCCGUUGAUCAAAGCUUUGUCUUAUCGGAAGGUUUCUUUGCUGGGAGCCGUUCUGGUUAGUUUGGGUUUGAUCGCAACGUUCCCGGCGAGAAGUAUGACGCACAUCCUAGCAACUUACAGUAUUAUUAAUGGUAUAGGGGUCGGUUUGACCGCCUCCGCUACGUUUGUCGCGUUAAAUCACUAUUUUGUUAAAAAGAGGGGCCAAGCGGUUGGCUAUUCCCUCGCCGGCACUGCCUUUGGGAUGAUGCUGAUGCCACACGCGGUUCGAAUCCUUCUCGAAAACUACAGUUUUCCCGGGGCUAUGUUGAUACUCGGGGGAGUGGCUAUGCAUGGUCUCGUCGGGUCUGUUAUGUUGGAACCAGCCGAAAAUCAUUUUAAACCCGAGGUCAAAGAUGAAGAGGAAGGCAUUUAUCAUCAGCUGCAAGGAAUUUCUUUCUACUUUUCGUCGAGCGAGGAAAUGGAGACGAUAAAAGAAACAGACGACGAAGAAACUGAACAACAAGAAGAUCAAACUUUAAUAAACGGCAACAUAAUAAUAAAAACUCUCCAAGAUCUUGAAAAACAACACAUGAACAUUCCGAAUUUAACUAGAAAGUCAACGUUUCCUCGUAAUUUUUCGACGAUGAGCUUUGUUAGCCGAAAACGUAAAGAUUCGGUUGGUUCAAUCGCCUCAAGUAUAUCUAGGCUUGAUUUUACCGGAUCAAGUCUUUUAUUAAAUUUACAGACUGAUAAUAAUGAACGUAAAACGAGUGCAUCGGAUGGUUUGCAUAUGAGACGAAAUAUGAGCUACCCCGGUGUGCAAUUAAAUCCGCAUCAAAAAAUAAUGAAGGAGUUACCACAUCCGGCACCGCUUUCGAUCGCCAAAAAAACUGAAGAGACAUUUUGGCAAAAAAUAAUCAAGUUUAUGGACUUUGAUUUAUUGAAAGAUCCGAUUUACUUGAAUUUAGUUUUUGGUCUCUCCAUUUUUUACGUCGCCGAGCAAAAUUUUAAAAUGGUUACGCCGUUUUUCUUCAUGAAUCUACUUUAUACUAAGACCAACAUAGCCAUAUUUUUAUCGAUCCAGGCGAUCACAGACAUCAUUGCUCGAUUGGUACUCCCUCCAAUUUGUGAUAGACUGACCAUAUCCAAAAGGACGUUAUUUAUGACCGCCAUAUUUUUACUUGGGAUUUGUAGAUCAGCAUAAAUUUGUCUGAAGACUUAAAUUAAAUUAAAAAAGGUGCUCUUUUGGUUUUUUUAUUUAUUAAUUAUUAAAUAAUCAAGGAGGGAUUUUUUAUUUUUAAUUACUUAGCUUAAUAAAACGUUUAUGAUUUUAUCCGCGUUUUUUGGGAUGAAUUCUUACAAAAAAUCAGCUCGUGGCUUCAUAUCGAGUCCUUCGUUAAUAACCAGCUGAAUGGAGCCAAAC
rnacentral:misc_RNA from 1 species